rnacentral:snRNA from 1 species
GGAGUUGAGGACAAUCUGGCUGAGACAUCGCUCAUGCCAUUGGUUUCCAGGUUAAUUCAGCUGAUCUGAUUAGCUUGGUGGCCUUCCCUCUCUGCUGCAUGUGUGUCUCUCCACAAGCUUCAUGCUAGGUGACACAGGCUGGCCUUCUCCAAUACUGUCUAACUGCUUUCCCACUGACAGUAGGUGAGCUGCUGUGCAUAUCCUCUAUUCUAGAAUUUACAAACAAGAGUUCGAACAUCACACAGUAGCAAAACUGGAUCAUAGAUGCCUUUAAAUAUUUGUCAAAUGCUUAGACGGCAGAU